CCCUUAGAGUUUGAUCCUGGCUCAGAUUGAACGCUGGCGGCAUGCCUUACACAUGCAAGUCGAACGGCAGCACGGGGGCAACCCUGGUGGCGAGUGGCGAACGGGUGAGUAAUGUAUCGGAACGUGCCCUGGAGUGGGGGAUAACUAGUCGAAAGACUAGCUAAUACCGCAUACGAUCUACGGAUGAAAGUGGGGGAUCGCAAGACCUCAUGCUCGUGGAGCGGCCGAUAUCUGAUUAGCUAGUUGGUGGGGUAAAGGCCUACCAAGGCAUCGAUCAGUAGCUGGUCUGAGAGGACGACCAGCCACACUGGGACUGAGACACGGCCCAGACUCCUACGGGAGGCAGCAGUGGGGAAUUUUGGACAAUGGGGGCAACCCUGAUCCAGCAAUGCCGCGUGAGUGAAGAAGGCCUUCGGGUUGUAAAGCUCUUUUGUCAGGGAAGAAACGGCGGGGGCUAAUAUCCCUUGCUAAUGACGGUACCUGAAGAAUAAGCACCGGCUAACUACGUGCCAGCAGCCGCGGUAAUACGUAGGGUGCAAGCGUUAAUCGGAAUUACUGGGCGUAAAGCGUGCG
rnacentral:rRNA from 1 species